rnacentral:lncRNA from 1 species
UAUUUUUUGUAAUUAAAAAUAUGAGUAAUAAUUUUGUUUUAUUAUUCUGUUUCUAUAUUGAAAAUAAUUUUAACCACUUUUUAAUAUUAAUCAUUUUAGGAAAUUAAAUAAAAAAAUUUGUGUAAAACACAUUAAUUAGAUUUUCAUAUUACAAAAUACAUAGUGAUUUAUAAUAAAAAUUAAAUAUCCAUGUCUACCCUUGGAUAUCCAUAUUCAUAUUGGAUAAUUAAGUAUUUACACAUAGAUGGCUAAUAACUAUAGCCAUAUGAAUUUUGUCAUCUUUAAUUGACAAGUAUAUGACCAAUUAAAUAAUUAUUUCAAACUUACCAUUCAAAAUUUUUUUUUGGUUAUAUUUUUGUUGGAUUAAUGGCUAAGUGCUGGAAAACACAAAACAACACCAUGGCCUUGACCAAUUUUUUAUUUUUUAGAUUGAUAGUGAAAUGUAUUUCUUUCUUUUUUUCCUUCAAUUCUAGCAAUUUAUGCAUUUGUUUCUCUACAUAUAUUGCAAUACCAAAAAAAAAAACUUAUAUUGUCCAAAUUGAUAAGUUUGCGAAGUCAGAAUAUUGUGUUCAUAUCGAAAGGUGCUUCCGAAAGAGAUUGUAGCUUCCAAAAGCAUCACAACAAUUAAAAAGUUUUAGGUGCAGGACUAAUGUCUGAAAAUAAAAAAGAUUUUAGCCUUUUUUUUAACAAAUAAAUGGACUCUACUAUAAUUGAUCUUGAAAAAGAUUAAAAAAAAAGGUACGAAACCUAUGUGGCAACAUAGUUUUGGGCAUACAAAAAGUGAAUUAUCAAUACUAUUAAUUCUUAAAAAAAAAUCAACAUACUAAGAUCUAACAAAGUCCAAUCGCCACUUAGAUUUUAACCCAGUGGUGAAUCACUAUUCUCAAAGUAAAAAAGAACUAUGAGGGUAAUGGUUUGAAUGUUCAUAGACUCAACUUUCCUCAAUUAAGUAAAAAAUUAUGUAGAAUUAAUUUAUAAGUCUUUCUACCUUACAAAAUGCGAGUGAAAUAGAAAAAUCCCUCGUCUGUGAGGGUCAUAUACCUGGACAUGUAUUUCAUAGAAUUAAAUUAAUAAUGUAAGUCCCAAAUUAUAUAUUUAAUUAUAAAUAUCAGUGUAAAGUUUACUAUAAUAAUAGUUAUAAAUAUCUGUGUAAUAUAAUAAUCUGAUAUGUAAUCAGUGUUAAAAAAGAAAAAGUCCAAUCCAGAAAAACCUCAACAUAAUGCUAAUAAAUAAAACACAAUAUUAUCACCGGAUCAUAAUAGAAGAAAUCAGAAGUAAAUAUUUAUGAAUUUAAUGAACUAACAAAAUACUUAAAAAGUAAAAUAAAAUCAUAAAAAAUCAAUAAAACCAAAAAAAAAUCAUUAGAAAAUUUUCACAUAGAGCCCUCAUCUUAGGUCAUUGGAAACUUGACAAACCACUACUAAAAUCCAUCUACAACUCCAAAACAAGCAUAACUUCCUAAUCAAUAAUUCACGUCAGCAUAUGACUCAAGGGACAUUUAAUUUGAUGUGGCAAAAUGUGGCAGAUGACUCAGCUUAUACCAGAAUCCGCCUCGAGUAGAGAGGUUAAGAUCAUUCAAUUGACAUUGUGUUUAAGUACAAUGGGUUAAAUCGGAUUUAAAUACAGCACUUAAAUUUCUUGUGGAAGAAACGAAGACACGAAUGUCUAAUAUUUUUAUGACAGCAGUAACAACAUAUUAAAAAAAAGGGGUCCAGCUAUGUUACUCACGGGUUUGGUACCUUUUUUUCGUCUUUUUCAAAUUCACUUUGGAUUUAAUACUAGAGUUGUAUAACGCUUAAAUGUAUUUAUUAGGUUAUUAAUAUUAAAUGUCCCUGUUGUUUAUGUAAAAUAAAAAUAAUAAAAAAUUUUAAAUUUUUAAUAUGUAAGUCCAUAGUAUUUUAAAUUUUUUUACACUAUUGAACUAAGUUUCUAAUUAAAUGAUUUAUUCUUACAUUUAUUAAUAUAUAUUUAAAUUAAUACAUUCUCUUAUUAAUUAACAACUUAAUUAAUUUAAUAUAUAGUUAAACAUUGUAUAUUAUUUACUAACCAUUAUUGACAAUAUAUAUAUAUAUAUAUAUAUAUAUAUAUAUAUAUAUAUUUAACAUAAUAACAACAAAUUUCCUUUCACUCAUGUGAGACUGUGAGUAAUGUUCAAACAUUGUAUCUUUUUUUUUUUUCUCUAACACAAGAGAUUCUACUAUCUUAAAUAGAUAAAAUGCACAAAAUAUGAAAAUGAAUUUAAUUUCAUAUUCCAUAUAAAUAAUGUUUUAUUAUUUUCUUGUAACAUAAUAUUUAUUUAACAUACUAUCAAUUAUUCGAUUAUGUAGAAAAAUAUAUUAAUUUACUACUAAUAAUAAAGUGUUAGUUUAUUAAUUCGUAAAAUCAUUUUUGUUCAUUUAAACAAGGAUUUUGUAUUUUUGGUUGAGUUUUUGCCCUUAAACAAAAGAAUAAAUCUUAACAAUUACUCUAUUUGAAAAUAAUUUAAAUAUUUCUUUAUUAUUUUUUGUAAUUAAAAAUAUGAGUAAUAAUUUUGUUUUAUUAUUCUGUUUCUAUAUUGAAAAUAAUUUUAACCACUUUUUAAUAUUAAUCAUUUUAGGAAAUUAAAUAAAAAAAUUUGUGUAAAACACAUUAAUUAGAUUUUCAUAUUACAAAAUACAUAGUGAUUUAUAAUAAAAAUUAAAUAUCCAUGUCUACCCUUGGAUAUCCAUAUUCAUAUUGGAUAAUUAAGUAUUUACACAUAGAUGGCUAAUAACUAUAGCCAUAUGAAUUUUGUCAUCUUUAAUUGACAAGUAUAUGACCAAUUAAAUAAUUAUUUCAAACUUACCAUUCAAAAUUUUUUUUUGGUUAUAUUUUUGUUGGAUUAAUGGCUAAGUGCUGGAAAACACAAAACAACACCAUGGCCUUGACCAAUUUUUUAUUUUUUAGAUUGAUAGUGAAAUGUAUUUCUUUCUUUUUUUCCUUCAAUUCUAGCAAUUUAUGCAUUUGUUUCUCUACAUAUAUUGCAAUACCAAAAAAAAAAAACUUAUAUUGUCCAAAUUGAUAAGUUUGCGAAGUCAGAAUAUUGUGUUCAUAUCGAAAGGUGCUUCCGAAAGAGAUUGUAGCUUCCAAAAGCAUCACAACAAUUAAAAAGUUUUAGGUGCAGGACUAAUGUCUGAAAAUAAAAAAGAUUUUAGCCUUUUUUUUAACAAAUAAAUGGACUCUACUAUAAUUGAUCUUGAAAAAGAUUAAAAAAAAAGGUACGAAACCUAUGUGGCAACAUAGUUUUGGGCAUACAAAAAGUGAAUUAUCAAUACUAUUAAUUCUUAAAAAAAAAUCAACAUACUAAGAUCUAACAAAGUCCAAUCGCCACUUAGAUUUUAACCCAGUGGUGAAUCACUAUUCUCAAAGUAAAAAAGAACUAUGAGGGUAAUGGUUUGAAUGUUCAUAGACUCAACUUUCCUCAAUUAAGUAAAAAAUUAUGUAGAAUUAAUUUAUAAGUCUUUCUACCUUACAAAAUGCAAGUGAAAUAGAAAAAUCCCUCGUCUGUGAGGGUCAUAUACCUGGACAUGUAUUUCAUAGAAUUAAAUUAAUAAUGUAAGUCCCAAAUUAUAUAUUUAAUUAUAAAUAUCAGUGUAAAGUUUACUAUAAUAAUAGUUAUAAAUAUCUGUGUAAUAUAAUAAUCUGAUAUGUAAUCAGUGUUAAAAAAGAAAAAGUCCAAUCCAGAAAAACCUCAACAUAAUGCUAAUAAAUAAAACACAAUAUUAUCACCGGAUCAUAAUAGAAGAAAUCAAAAGUAAAUAUUUAUGAAUUUAAUGAACUAACAAAAUACUUAAAAAGUAAAAUAAAAUCAUAAAAAAUCAAUAAAACCAAAAAAAAAUCAUUAGAAAAUUUUCACAUAGAGCCCUCAUCUUAGGUCAUUGGAAACUUGACAAACCACUACUAAAAUCCAUCUACAACUCCAAAACAAGCAUAACUUCCUAAUCAAUAAUUCACGUCAGCAUAUGACUCAAGGGACAUUUAAUUUGAUGUGGCAAAAUGUGGCAGAUGACUCAGCUUAUACCAGAAUCCGCCUCGAGUAGAGAGGUUAAGAUCAUUCAAUUGGCAGUGGUCUUGACUGAUUUCUAAAUAUCUCUUUUGAAAUAAUUCCUUAUGAUUUAGUUUUAUAAUAUUACUAGGAAAUAGAACCACAUUU